UGUGGCGUUGCCCAGACAACUAGGAUGUUGGCUUAGAAGCAGCCAUCAUUUAAAGAGUGCGUAAUAGCUCACUAGUCGAGUGACACUGCGCCGAAAAUGUACCGGGGCUAAACAUAUUACCGAAGCUGUGGAUUGUCCUUUGGACAAUGGUAGGAGAGCGUUCUAAGGGCGUUGAAGCAUGAUCGUAAGGACAUGUGGAGCGCUUAGAAGUGAGAAUGCCGGUGUGAGUAGCGAAAGACGGGUGAGAAUCCCGUCCACCGAUUGACUAAGGUUUCCAGAGGAAGGCUCGUCCGCUCUGGGUUAGUCGGGUCCUAAGCUGAGGCCGACAGGCGUAGGCGAUGGAUAACAGGUUGAUAUUCCUGUACCACCUAUAAUCGUUUUAAUCGAUGGGGGGACGCAGUAGGAUAGGCGAAGCGUGCGAUUGGAUUGCACGUCUAAGCAGUAAGGCUGAGUAUUAGGCAAAUCCGGUACUCGUUAAGGCUGAGCUGUGAUGGGGAGAAGACAUUGUGUCUUCGAGUCGUUGAUUUCACACUGCCGAGAAAAGCCUCUAGAUAGAAAAUAGGUGCCCGUACCGCAAACCGACACAGGUAGUCAAGAUGAGAAUUCUAAGGUGAGCGAGCGAACUCUCGUUAAGGAACUCGGCAAAAUGACCCCGUAACUUCGGGAGAAGGGGUGCUCUUUAGGGUUAACGCCCAGAAGAGCCGCAGUGAAUAGGCCCAAGCGACUGUUUAUCAAAAACACAGGUCUCUGCUAAACCGUAAGGUGAUGUAUAGGGGCUGACGCCUGCCCGGUGCUGGAAGGUUAAGAGGAGUGGUUAGCUUCUGCGAAGCUACGAAUCGAAGCCCCAGUAAACGGCGGCCGUAACUAUAACGGUCCUAAGGUAGCGAAAUUCCUUGUCGGGUAAGUUCCGACCCGCACGAAAGGCGUAACGAUUUGGGCACUGUCUCAACGAGAGACUCGGUGAAAUCAUAGUACCUGUGAAGAUGCAGGUUACCCGCGACAGGACGGAAAGACCCCGUGGAGCUUUACUGUAGCCUGAUAUUGAAAUUCGGCACAGCUUGUACAGGAUAGGUAGGAGCCUUUGAAACGUGAGCGCUAGCUUACGUGGAGGCGCUGGUGGGAUACUACCCUAGCUG
rnacentral:rRNA from 1 species